AUUAUUUCAUGAUGAUGAUGAUGAUGAUGAUGAUGAUGAUGAUCAUCAUCAUCAUCAUCAUCAUCAUCAUCAUCAUCAUCCACA
rnacentral:pre_miRNA from 1 species